CAUAUUUUAACAAUGAAUGAUCAACUUAAUGCUCCUAAAUGGAUUCUAAGAUUGAAAUAAAACUGGAAUGAGGCCCACAAGUGCUCAAAAUAAAUGUAACCAAUAUGUUACAGUUGAAUACAAUAUGAAACAAAUGAGAUGCAAUCACAAAUGAUGUGUUAAAGAUCGCGAAAAAAUCGUGAUUAAUCAUGAAGGGCGUCGUCGCGAUUUUUACCUUUAAAAAAAUUCGUUUCGUUCACAAAUCGUUGAUUGCUCUUGUCAAUGAUAUUUUAGGGUUUAAAUCAAAUUUAAGUCGUCCGUAAGUAGCGAAGAAAACUCUCGCCAAUGUGCCCUCUUGCUGCGAUAUUCCCUAUUGGAAACCCGCAACUGGCCAUUUAGAGGGCAUUUGCGCGUUGUACGAUUUGAAACACGAGGAAGGAACGCUGAGCCGGGAAAUUUACAGAAAACGCAUCAUGUGUAGGGAUUCCGGAGGCGUAAAAAGGAAAUAUGCAACUUUAAGGCAUGCACUUCCUUGAUAAUUUUGGAAGCUUGUGGGAAUCAAGGUUGGCUGAACAGAAUUUCCAAGGAGUGAAAAUAAAAAAAUCAGAAGAAUGUGGUCUCAAGUGAUGAACAAAGAACUGGCUUUGUCAAUGAGGGCGCAACUGCUGGUCCGGAAGGUACGACAGUAAUCAACUCCACAGAUGAUCUUGCUGGGAUGAGAGGUAUUUGUCCAAUGCAAAUGUUGUGUGUUGCUGCAUAUGCGGCUAGUGGAGGAUGAAAUCAGGUAGGAGUAGCUCGCCACUUUGAAUGAGCUGUCAACAAGAUUGAGCAAAGAAGGGUAAACCACAAUGAUUGACAAAACCAAAGUGAGGCUGAUCUUAAAUUUGAUUCAAAACGAGUCUACAAAGAGAACUUGAUUGGUCAAGGAACACAUGAAAGCAAUGAAAACCAAGCUCAAUCAGGAUGAGACAAUUGACAAAUGAACCCUAGACUUGAAAAACAACAUACUGUAUUGUCAUUAAGAAUAUAAAAGAUGGAAGUGGAAAAGAAAUAUGUAAUCUUGGAUAUUGUAAAGCUGCGCUCGAACUCUAUAAGCGACUCUGUGGUGAGAUUUCAAAGCUCUAAAUGCAAAGUACAAUUCUAUGGUGUCGAUAUACAAGACAGACGUUGAAUAUUUAAGUCUCAAUGUGAGAGUUUGAGAGGAGAAAAGGGGCAUUGGGCUAAGGAGAGCAGCUAUUUAUGUAGUUCUUUUGCAGCAGUUAUUUGGCAAUAUAAACUUUAUUGAAUUGUUCUUUCA